UACGGGGGGGGCAAGCGUUGUUCGGAAUUACUGGGCGUAAAGAGCGUGUAGGCGGUUCAGUAAGUCUGCUGUGAAAGUCCAAGGCUCAACCUUGGGAUGCCGGUGGAUACUGCUGAGCUAGAGUACGGAAGAGGCGAGUGGAAUUCCCGGUGUAGCGGUGAAAUGCGCAGAUAUCGGGAGGAACACCUAUUGCGAAGGCAGCUCGCUGGGACGUCACUGACGCUGAGACGCGAAAGCGUGGGGAGCAAACAGG
rnacentral:rRNA from 1 species